GGACUACACGGGUUUCUAAUCCCAUUCGCUCCCCUAGCUUUCGUCUCUCAGUGUCAGUUUCGGCCCAGCAGAGCGCUUUCGCCUUUGGUGUUCUUCCCGAUAUCUACGCAUUUCACCGCUACACCGGGAAUUCCCUCUGCCCCUACCGUACUCCAGCCACGCAGUUUCGACUGCUUGCUCAGGGUUCAGCCCUGAUCUUUAACAGCCGACUAGCGUAACCACCUACAGACGCUUUACGCCCAAUCAAUCCGGAUAACGCUUGCAUCCUCCGUAUUACCGCGGCGGCUGGCAC
rnacentral:rRNA from 1 species